UUAAACAAGAGGUCAGCAGGUGGAGGUUAAACAAGGGGUCAGCAGGUGGAGGUUAAACAAGAGGUCAGCAGGAGGAGGUUAAACAAGAGGUCAGCAGGAGGAGGUUAAACAAGAGGUCAGCAGGUGGUGGUUAAACAAGAGGUCAGCAGGUGGUGGUUAAACAAGAGGUCAGCAGGAGGAGGUUAAACAAGAGGUCAGCAGGAGGAGGUUAAACAAGAGGUCAGCAGGAGGUGGUUAAACAAGAGGUCAGCAGGUGGUGGUUAAACAAGAGGUCAGCAGGAGGAGGUUAAACAAGAGGUCAGCAGGUGGAGGUUAAACAAGAGGUCAGCAGGAGGAGGUUAAACAAGAGGUCACCAGGAGGUGGUUAAACAAGAGGUCAGCAGGUGGAGGUUAAACAAGAGGUCAGCAGGAGGAGGUUAAACAAGAGGUCAGCAGGGGAGGUUAAACAAGAGGUCAGCAGGUGGAGGUUAAACAAGAGGUCAGCAGGAGCUGGUCCAACAAGAGGUCAGCAGGAGCUGGUCCAACAAGAGGUCAGCAGGAACUGGUCCAACAAGAGGUCAGCAGGAGCUGGUCCAACAAGAGGUCAGCAGGAGCUGGUCCAACAAGAGGUCAGCAGGUGGUGGUUAAACAAGAGGUCAGCAGGAGGAGGUUAAACAAGAGGUCAGCAGGAACUGGUCCAACAAGAGGUCAGCAGGAGCUGGUCCAACAAGAGGUCAGCAGGAGCUGGUCCAACAAGAGGUCAGCAGGAGCUGGUCCAACAAGAGGUCAGCAGGAGCUGGUCCAACAAGAGGUCAGCAGGAGCUGGUCCAACAAGAGGUC